rnacentral:rRNA from 1 species
AUUGAACGCUGGCGGCAGGCCUAACACAUGCAAGUCGAGCGGAUGAAGGGAGCUUGCUCCUGGAUUCAGCGGCGGACGGGUGAGUAAUGCCUAGGAAUCUGCCUGGUAGUGGGGAUAACGUCCGGAAACGGGCGCUAAUACCGCAUACGUCCUGAGGGAGAAAGUGGGGGAUCUUCGGACCUCACGCCAUCAGAUGAGCCUAGGUCGGAUUAGCUAGUUGGUGGGGUAAAGGCCUACCAAGGCGACGAUCCGUAACUGGUCUGAGAGGAUGAUCAGUCACACUGGAACUGAGACACGGUCCAGACUCCUACGGGAGGCAGCAGUGGGGAAUAUUGGACAAUGGGCGAAAGCCUGAUCCAGCCAUGCCGCGUGUGUGAAGAAGGUCUUCGGAUUGUAAAGCACUUUAAGUUGGGAGGAAGGGCAGUAAGUUAAUACCUUGCUGUUUUGACGUUACCAACAGAAUAAGCACCGGCUAACUUCGUG